CCAAAGAUGUGAGAAAUAUAGGACAGAGUGGGCUGCCAAAGGCAGCCAGCAGUAGCUGCCAUUGCAGCACUGCAAAGAGAGAAAAGAGUGAGGUUGACAGUUGCAAAGAGUGGAUGAUUCCUCCUCCUCUAUUGUCGUAAAUCUUGUUCUCUCCCUUUAUAAUCAAAUGGCUUCUCUCGUGGAUGUAAGUGAUUUGUCGAACCACGUUAAAUAUUGUGUCGGUGUGCUUAGCCUCUAAUUAUGGGCAACUAUCAGAACAUCACCAGUCGGAAUUCCCAACAUUCGAAUGAUGCUAUAAAGUUUUGCACUCUUGAUCAUAAUCAGGCUCUGGUUUCCUUACCAACAGACCCACGCCUUGAUGGUUAGAUUACAAGAAUCUAGUGGCCGUAUCUGGCCGUGUUCCAGCAUCUGCAGCAAGAUAGGUUUAUCAUCCAAUAGAAGGUGCUACUCUAUAGCUCUUCAUAAUGCUUUCUUAGAACCUCAAAGUAACUC
rnacentral:lncRNA from 1 species